rnacentral:piRNA from 1 species
UUACAGAGCAACAAGAAAG